GGGUUGGUAAUGGGACUGGUGGAUAGGGGAAGGAUUGGUAAUGGGACUGGUGGAUAGGGGAAGGAUUGGUAAUGGGACUGGUGGAUAGGGGAAGGAUUGGUAAUGGGACUGGUGGAUAGGGGAAGGAUUGGUAAUGGGACUGGUGGAUAGGGGAAGGAUUGGUAAUGGGACUGGUGGAUAGGGGAAGGAUUGGUAAUGGGACUGGUGGAUAGGGGAAGGAUUGGUAAUGGGACUGGUGGAUAGGGGAAGGAUUGGUAAUGGGACUGGUGGAUAGGGGAAGGAUUGGUAAUGGGACUGGUGGAUAGGGGAAGGAUUGGUAAUGGGACUGGUGGAUAGGGGAAGGAUUGGUAAUGGGACUGGUG